UAAUUAUCUGAACAAAUAUCUUAACUAAUUAAUAUCUGAAAUUUAGGUUAUAUUCAAAUAUUAAACUAAAGUACUAAGUAUAAUGUUUCUAAACUAUUGAUCAUAGAAAUGCAAAAGUGUGAUUAUAUAGCCCUUAUAAGAGAAAUGUAAUUUUUGAGAGGGAAAAAAGUCAGUUUAAUUUUAAACAAAACAAUUGAAAAUAAUAUAAAGCUAUUUUUAUGUAAGCAUAAGCACAAAUUACUCUAUGGUGAAAUAUUUAUCACAACAAAAUCUAUAGAAUUUUUUUUCUUCUGAAAAGCAAAGAAGAUAAUAGUUUACAAUCAGGUGCCCUCUCUGGUAAUUUGAAGGUAAACCAAUAUAUAUAUAAAUAUGUUUGAGCAAUGUGAAUAGUUGGUUUUUAUUAGUACUAACCGGUUAAUACUAAUAAUAACCAAAUAAGCUGAUUAAGGGGAAUAAUUAACGUGAAUUGAUCACAUCAGUUGGUUAUUAUUAAUAAUAAUACCAAUGAAGUUUGGUCAAUGUCAUUCUUUCACGUUUUGAUUGGGAAUAUUUUCGUAUCGUGAUCUGCCGCACCAAAUACAAUCGUCAAGGCGCUAGAUUGAUUUUAAACUGGAAGAAAAAUUUGAAAGAAAACAUGUAGAUGUUUUCCUGGGGGGGGGGUGAGAUUACAAGUUAUACCCUACGAGUUGGUCCCUUUCUGUGAUGUUUUUCUUUAUUUUGUCAUAGGCUGCUGCUUGGAAGUUGCCCACACUUGGCGAUUAUUCUGUCACUAAUCAUAAUACAGAAAUCUCCCCUUUUUAUUUCUCAUUUUGACCAAAAGAAGCAGUUACUAUUGUUAUGCCCUGUUAGUAAUAAUAAUAACCGAAUUUAUUACUUUAAUCCUAACAUAUAUAAUUGAAAAUGAAACAAGAACAAAUCACAAUUAGAAACAAAAGUUGCAAUAACCUGAAGAUAUUGAAAGCAAAGACUAACAAGGUUACUAGAAACAGGGUUUCAGCAAAACUGAGCAAAAAUUAUUGCCAAACCAAGAAGCCACUAAUGCUACACCUUAACCGUAAAUUAAAUUAAAAUUUUAUGAAGAACUUGAUUAAAUUUGUGUAAAACAUCUUAAUAUAAUUUGCUUGAUCCAAAUAUUUAUCUUUUAAAUAUUCAAUUUCUUCAUAAAAGUUACAACUAGUGAUAGUUGUUUAUCAAAUUUUUUUCAGUUUUUAAUUGUUGCUAAGAGAAUUGGUAAAUAUAAUAUCUCGUCCUCAGUUUUACAUAACCACUGAUAAAUGCUUAAAAAAUUUGACAAAACUAUUUCAUUUGUAAUGUGCAUGUUAUAAUAAAUUUGUCUGCUCUGUAAUCUAGUGAAGUAAAUUUGUGAUUCCCAUUAAUGUUAAAAUAAUUUGAAAUAAAAACCAUUUUUUGAAGGAAAGAAGUUAAAAUAUUUUUUAUACUUGAUAUAAUGAACAUGUUCAGCCUUUAUUUUUGUUUACUUUUUGUCUUUUAUAAAAUAUUUUACAAAUACUUUUUAUCCUUAUUUGAGUGUAUUUCUUAUGACAUUCAUUUUAAAUUUAAAUGAAUGCUAGGCUUAGUAUUUAUGUUUGCUUAGUAUGACAAAAUGACAACAAAUAACAAAAUUACUGGUUAAAAAAAUUAUUUGUAGUCUUUAUAUUUGUAAAAAAAAUUCUCAUUAUAUAAACUUUUAAAUCUAUAUUGUUCUCUAUAUACUAUCUCUCUAUAUUGUUUCAUACAAUAUAUGUUUGAUAUUACACUUAUAUGAUAUACUUUUUAAAUAAUUGAAAAAAGUACUUGAAAUUUGAGGGAGGGAAGUGUCUUCAUAAAGCAUUUGUGCACAGAAUGUUAUCAACUUUGCAACAAGGAUGGGAAAUUUUUUGGUUUUAAAUUGUGGGAAUGUGCAUAUUUUUUUUAUUUAAAUUAUUUGAAUAUUUACAUGAUUUUUAAAUCAUGCAACUACGAAUCUCGACAUUUAAUUUUAAAAUCGCCUAAAUCCGAAUCUCUAUGUUUGAUUUUAAAAUCUUGUGAAUUGUGUAAAUACGAAUCUCGAUAUUUGAUCUUAAGUAUACCUACUAUACCCUAUGCUUUUAUUUUUCAGUAUUUUACAAGAAAAGUGGAAUAUACCAAUGUACUUUUUGCCAGUAUUCUAAUAUUGAUAAAGCGAAGUUGAAAAUGCACAUCAGAGUUCACACUGGGGAAAAACCCUUCCAAUGUACCUAUUGUAAAAAACGUUUUUCACAAAAAUCUAAUUUGAAAGGUCAUAUGAUUAUUCAUUACAGGGAGCAAAUGCUGUGAAAUGUGUAAAUGAAUCCAACCAAGAAACAAGCAUUCAUCACUGCUCUUUAUGCAAAUACAGCAGCAAGAAAAAAACUAAUGUUAAUAGACAUUUUCGUUCUGUGCACUUUUAUGAAAAGCCGUUCACGUGUGACGCUUGUAUGAAAGUUUUUUCACGCAAGCACGAUCUAAAGCGGCAUAAGUUGAGACAUGCCGGGAAAACGACACAUUUAUUUUUGUAACCCAUAUUUUCCCCCACCUCUCUUUCUACACUGCCAGGAAAUCUGCCGUUUUGUUUGCUAUACCGAUAAUUUCAUUGACUAUCUUACUGCAACUAUAGCAUAUUUUUACAAAAUAAUUAUUUUUACCAUUAUUUAAGGUUAGUGGCAGUUAAUAACAAUAGAUGCUAACUUUCCAACUUUCAUCAAUACAAGUGUUCACCUUAGUUGUUUGAUAUUUGUUUUUGUGAUUUCUAGAAGUGAUGUUGGAAUUCUUUAUAGCUUAAUUUAAAAAUUUUCUGUUAUUUUUUUUUCUUUUAAAUUUUCUAAAUUUUCCCAACAUAUUUUUGUCCAUCUUCAAUUGUUUGAUAUUUUUACUUUUUAGAAAAUUCCUUUGAAAUGUAUGUUUUUUUAAUUGAAACAGUUAUAUGUUAUUGCUAUCAGUAUCUCGUUCUUUUAAGUGAUUUAGGAAACUUAUACAAAAUAAAAUAGAUAAAGAUGUGAUUUGUAGAAUUCUUCUGCCUGCUGGUUAUCAUCCACUUGCCCAGCCUAAAGUACUUCUCAAUCAGGGUUUUGCUGUAUCCCAAGGACUACCUCAUUGCACAAUUUUACAUAAUUCUAAUUCACAUAAUAAUGAACAGGGUAAGAACAUUUAAUCCACACUAAAUUGUCGAAAUACAUAUUGAAUGAAUUAAUGAAUGAAAAUAAUUUUAAUUCACAUAAUAAUGAAUGUGAUAUGAACAUUUAACCCACGUUAAAGUGUACAGUGUACAAAAAACACUCUCAAUAACUUCGGGAUUUCGGAUCUUUACGUUCUAGGACUCCAUGGUUCAAAGAGGUAACCUCAAAUAUGCUAAUUAAUUAGGGCAGAUAAUAUUACAUUAUUUUAAAUUAUUUGCAAAAAUUCUUUAAUUCACUUAAAAAGUUUUCAAGAUAUAAAUAAGCAAAAAAUAGAAUUAAGGGGUCCAAACUUUGAACCGCUCUCCUGCCCAAGCCAUUGCGACCAUAUUCUCAAGAUUAGAACUACCUUCUUUACUUUGGUGGUCAGUAAUCCGAAUUCGUCCAAAAAAGGGUAUGUUUGUUGAGAAAAAUUAUGUUUUUGUGUCUGAUUUUGUAACUUAAAAUAUUGUCUGCGCUAAUUAAUUAGCAUGCUUGAGGUCCCCCCUUCAAAUCAUUACGAGUCCUAGAACGUAAAGACACAUUAUUCUGCGUCGUCCGUAUUUUCUACUUACUGUAUUUACGUAUAAUUUCAUAUUAUAUGAUCAAAAUACUAAAUAAUUUUAGACCUCAUCAGAGAACUGUUUCCAUUCAAGUGUGAAAGACAAAAUGGCUACUUUUCUGAAGUAAAGAAAAUUGCCAAAAACAGUACGAUGCAGUUAUUUCUGACAGCUUCAGUAAAAGGAUUUUCAAAGAGUUUAGAUAAAGGUUAUCGUCAAUAACAAGUUAUACUCAUAAAAGAAUGGUUUUAUAUAGGGUUUUCAACAGUAAAACCAUUUAUUUUUAAAAAUGUCCUCAUUACAUCCUGAUCUCGUUAAAGUAAGGAUCACAGUAAGUAAGUCUGACUGUAUUUCAUUAUUAAGAUUAAUUUAUCAUAGUAGAAACCCAAAUCAAAAAUGUAUCAUUGUUUCUGAAUUUCAUAAUGUAAAAGUAGUUAUAUGUAGUGUUUCAUGCUUUUAUUUUUCAGACUUCCAGAAGCAAAGAAGAAUACACGAGUGUCCCUUAUGCCUCUAUUCAUCUGUGCUGGAAAUGGAUUUAGCAAGGCAUAUCAGAGUUCAUAUUGGUGAAAAGAUUUUUCAGUGUACCACUUGUAAGAAGUGCUUUAGUCAAAAGUCUGAUUUGGAAACACACAUGAAAACAAUGCACUUCAAUAAAUAGGAAAAAACUUUAUGCUUUUAGUGCAUUGGAUGAUUUAUUUUUAUUUGCUAUGAUGUAUGGAUUCUUGAUCGAAAGCGACAUUGUUGUUCUUUUUGUUCUUAUUCUACUCUUCUGAAGACAGAUCUGACACGCCAUAUCAGAACUCACACUGGUGAAAAACCAUUUCAGUGUUCCCACUGUGGAAGAUGCUUUAAUCGUAAGGACCAUUUGGAAAGGCAUGUGCUCAGAAGACAUAUGAACAAAAUACAGAACAAUUUCAUGUGAUAUGUUUAAGUGCAAUUAGCAUGUAUGAGCAGUGCUAUUUUCUGAGCUGUAUUUUAACAUUAUGGACCAUUUAUGUGUUCAAUAUAAAUUGAUAAGUUAUUUUUCUAAUAACUUUUUAUUGUUUUUGAAUUUUCAUUCUUUUCAGACAUGUUAGAUAUCCUUUAAAAUUUUCUAAAAGACUUUUCUUUAAACAAAAUAUAUUUGAAUGCAGUCAUUGGCAAAUUACUAGUAUAUGAUUUUCAAUUAGCAGAACUGAGAGAAAGGAGCUCUUCUAGUCAUCCAGUCAAAACGAGCAUUCAAAAGGCCGCCAACGACACUAAACUUUAAAUUUAUUAAUAUCCCUCUAUUUAUUACUAAAUUGUUUUUUUUUUUUAUGUUUGGUACUAGAAAAUACUUUAAUAAAUAAAAUACAGUCGGACCUCUAUUUAACGAAAUCGCUAAAUCCCGAUUAUAAGUUCGUUAUAUUCAAAAUAGAUCUUUUGAAAUGUACUUAAACAACACGAAACAUGUUUUAAAUUCAUAAACUCUAGAUAUAAUCAAAAUAGCAAUUGAUACACCUUUAUCUUGUAAACUAGUAUCUACUAUUUGUUUUAUAAAUCUUAACCCUGAAAGAAAUCUGCAUGAAAGCAAGAAUAGAUCAAAACAUUAUUCAGUGUUACACUAACAUACUACAUACAUUUUCAACUAAAAAAAUUUAUAUAAAAAAUUAUAGCUGCAUUUAUUAUAAAAGUAAUUUUAUACAUACAUUACCACAUGCGUUAAGUUUAAUUGCUACUGAUAAAAUCCGUUAAUUUUGUCUGAGUUUUUCGUUUAAAAUGCAAACAAAAAGGGAAACGGAUUUUACUACUUUCUUAUAAGUUAAUUGGCUCCAAAAAUUAAUUCAAGGUCAUUUCCCCCAUAAAAUGCGUUAAGUUUGAAAUGUUCCUAAAUAUUUUGGGAAAGUGGAUCUCAAAGAAAAGUUCGUUAAAUAGAAAAUUCACUUAGCUAUUUGAAUUUUUUUUUUGAAGAAGAAAUUUCCAAAAUGUUCUUGGUUUCUCGAAAAAAAAUCGCAAAAUAGAAGUCCAACUGUAUACUUAAAUUAAGAAAAUUAAUUUAAUAUUGAAGUUAUAGGUUUUUAAAAUUUUAAUCUUUUUUGCUUUAAAGACAAAAGUGGGAAUACUUUAUUUUAAGUAAUUUUUUACUAAACCAUGCUAUAAUAUCCUCUUGUAUUUAUAUAAAAAUAAGUUUCAAAUACUAUUUUUGAUAAAUAUAUCUUUCUAACAUUUUUUUGACCACCUCCCCGAGAUUGCACUGUUUUGAGAGCUAUUUAAUCACCAAAUUAACUCAAGGCAUCCCCAAAAUCUAACUAAAAGUAUAGAGUGCAGAGAUAUAUUUGAAUAAUGGGCUCAUAAAAAAUAACUAAUUUUUGAUUUUACUGAAAUGUUCAACAGUUACUGAUUUUGUUGUUCGGCAAAUUUGUGUGUAAAAUUUAUUAGAAAUAUUGAUCUUACUUUAACAAGCUUAUUAUUUUAUGUUUCAUUUCAAAAAGAAAGAUAAUUUUUAAUAGACUUAGUUAAUGUCCUAGUCUAGAAAUUGAAAUUUUUCGGAACAAAUUAUAAAAUUACUUUUUGUAGUUCACUAUAGCAUUAUCUAUAAAAUGAAUGGCGGGAAAGGUUUGUCUUUUUUAUUCUAUAAUUCGUAAAUACAAAGUUUGAGUAUCAUUUCGCAUUGAAAUAAUUUCUCUUUUCCCCUACUAUUUUUUGAUAGACCCUUUCCCUGGACUUUUUUGGGGACCUUUUUCCCUGGAAAAUUUUUAUUUAAGUGACACCCCAAGAUGUAAUGCCAGUUACAUUUGCGCUAGACAGAGAUAUUGUUCUUUAUAAUGAUUUUAUAAUUUGCAUGUUCCCAUGCCUUCAGUCGCAUUCAUCAUGCAAUUCAUAAUUAUAAUAAUGAAGCUAAUUAGAUUACAAUAAAAUGUAUUCAUUCUAAAA